rnacentral:rRNA from 1 species
UACGUAGGGCGCGAGCGUUAUCCGGAAUUAUUGGGCGUAAAGAGCUCGUAGGCGGUUUGUCGCGUCUGCCGUGAAAGUCCGGGGCUCAACUCCGGAUCUGCGGUGGGUACGGGCAGACUAGAGUGAUGUAGGGGAGACUGGAAUUCCUGGUGUAGCGGUGAAAUGCGCAGAUAUCAGGAGGAACACCGGUGGCGAAGGCGGGUCUCUGGGCCGAUACUGACGCUGAGGAGCGAAAGCGUGGGGAGCGAACAGG